CCCGCUGAACUUAAGCAUAUCAAUAAGCGGAGGAAAAGAAACUAACAAGGAUUCCCCUAGUAACUGCGAGUGAAGCGGGAAAAGCUCAAAUUUAAAAUCUGGCGGCUCUUUGCCGUCCGAGUUGUAAUUUAGAGAAGCGUCUUCCGCGCCGGACCAUGCACAAGUCUCCUGGAAUGGAGCGUCAUAGAGGGUGAGAAUCCCGUCUUUGGCAUGGAUCCCUGGUGCUUCUGUGAUGUGCUCUCGAAGAGUCGAGUUGUUUGGGAAUGCAGCUCAAAAUGGGUGGUGAACUCCAUCUAAAGCUAAAUAUUGGCGAGAGACCGAUAGCGAACAAGUACCGUGAGGGAAAGAUGAAAAGCACUUUGGAAAGAGAGUGAAACAGUACGUGAAAUUGUUGAAAGGGAAACGCUUGAAGUCAGUCGCGUUUGCUUGGACUCAGCCUUACUUCGGUUUGGUGCAUUUCCUUGCAGACGGGCCAGCGUCCAUGUUGUUUGCCGGAGAAGGGGUUGAGGGAAUGUGGCUCCUUCGGGAGUGUUAUAGCCCUCACUCGUAUGCGGGGAGUGAUAUGGAGUGACACAGCACGCUUCGGUGGUGCUUGUGCUGGCAUAAUGGCUUUAAACGACCCGUCUUGAAACACGG
rnacentral:rRNA from 1 species